rnacentral:lncRNA from 1 species
CUCUCUCUCUCUCUCUCUCUCUCUCUACACACACACAACACAUUGGAUAAACUUACCACCCACCCCCAGAAAAAUUCCCAACACACAUUGAAUAAUUUAACCUUAGAAUCUACAUGUACAAACAUGCACCUGCCAUACAGGAUAAUAUGAGCUGCAUGGCGAAUUUUUAUUUUUUUUGGGUGAACCAGUGGGGAUGACGGGCCCUAGACGUUUUAUUUAUACAUGGUCAAAUUUUUGCCGUUGAGGUAGAAGCAUCCCUCAAAAUGAGCUGACUCUCUCUCUCUCUUUCUCUCUCUUAUCUAUUUAUCUAUCUAUAUGUGCGUGUGAGUGAGUGAAAGAUAUUUGUUUUCAAUUAAAGGUAGCUAUGAUGUAUUUUGUUUUCUUUGUUGUUUGUUCUAUGCACAGGUGAGGUGAGGUUAGGUGGGUGAAUCAGUGUGAACGUAUCGAAAUUUAGGCAAGAGUUUGAUACCUCUGGAUUGCAGUGCUUGAACCCAUUAGCUUUGGAUCCUAAAAUUCGUUUCGUUUUAUGUGAACCUGCCUCUCUGCUGCCACAGCCUGUGAUAACUUUUAUGUGCAUAUGAAUGUAAGAACUGCUAUUUCCUUCUCUCAAAGAGCACAUUUGCCACUACCCCCAUAUACUUUGAGUGCAUGCUGACUAUCUCUCUCUCUCUCAAAGUGCACACUUGCCGCUACCCAUCAACUUGACUUCAAAGAGCAUUGUGACUCUCUCUCUCUCUCGCUCAAUUGGUAAAAGAAUUGAUGAGUGAAAAUUACGUAUAUCGGUCAUUGUUUCAAUUCUUGAAAUCUUUUUGAUGACUUCAAAUUUUAUUUUAAUCUGUAAAAAGUUUCAAAAAUAGUGUAGAUUAAGUAAAUCUAUGAACAUUCGAAAAACUUGAAAAUUGAUGGUUUUAAAAAGCAUUACAAGAUGCACUAUUUUUAAGACAUGAAAUCCAUUUUUUUUUGUCUGUACAUCUUGAGUUGAGAUGCUUAAUUUGGGGAUUUUUGGGCACGAAACACCUUCAUUUAGUGAAUUUUUGAGAUGUGAUUUUAUUGGAUUGUUUAUAUAAUUUUUUGCAAAAUAUUAUAAAAAACCUUUUUGACCCGUCCUUUUUUUACAACUUAUUCCCUACCAAUUUUUUAUAUAGUACCAUUUACCCCAAAACAAAUUUUUUUUUCGUAAGGACCCGGUUUUUAUGGCCAGGCCCGUACCUAUUAUAUUGCGGUCCUCAAAUCCAAAAUGCUCACGUAAAUGGGUAAUUGGAUAAGUGAGUUAUCUUUAAAAGCU